AAGAGAAUUAACAUCACAUUGGAAAAUAGAGAUGGUGAAUAACUGCAAGAUUGCCUUAAGAGAGUAUUAGUCAAAGUGGAAAACAGGCAACGGUGGUGGUUCGAAUUUCACCAACCCCCAUCCCCUACAGGGAAAAGAAAAGGAAUAUAUAAAUGGUUGGAAACAAAGAUAAAAACAUUAUCUUCACAGUUGAUGACAAUAUACCACCUCCAGCUAAUCCACAACUAAAUGACCAGCAAAUAAUUAAAAAUUCCUAUACCGAGAAUUGAAAGGCUAUUGGUAUUACCUAAGGUGGACAGCACGUAUUCUGCCUUGUUUGUCUAGCAUUCCUUUCUGUUAUCUAUAUCCUUCUAAGAUUGGAGAGGGUGAAGAUGAGACAUUUUCUCAGGUCUGAUGUGGAGGAAAUGUGCUGCUACUUAAAGGUCUAGGGGAUUUGGCUACAGCCCUUAGCUUUGUCAGGUAAGUGGCUAUGGCAUUUUCCUUAAAAAUUGAAUCUUUACAAUAACGUAGAUAUACAUGCAAACUGCUCAGAUCCCAUUGUACAAAUUCAUAUAUAUACCAAUUAUACAAUACAAACAUAAAAUCAGACCCUCUGACGCACGUCAGCAAAAAUUAUAUAAUCAUAUGGGAUUAAAUAUUUGAAUUACAUUCUAUUGAUGUCAUUUACUCAUAGUUCAAAGUGUGAUCAUGCAUUUUGACAACAUCCACAUAUCACAAGUAUUAACACCAUACAAAUAUUUUGAGAUAGGAGAGUGUUGUGCAUCCACAUAACACACUGUUCAUUAUUUUUUACAUGCACAAUUCUGUAUCUUUCUAACACAUGGCCAAAGGAACUGCCAGAAACCUGCACCUCUUUUUGAAAAGUGGUUGACAGCAGUUCAGAGCUCAUUCAACUUUAUUCAAAUGAAGUCUUUUUUUCUUUUUUCUUUUUUCUUUUUCAAUCACUACAUGGAUCUGGUCAGCCCAUCAUGGGGGUUCCAAACCAGAAUCCAAAAUCUAAUAAGGUCACUAACAAUUGUAGUCCCCUGUAAAUGUUUAAAAUGCUACCAUGAUAACUUCUAUUGCUUAUGCGAGUCCGAAGAAAUUCUUGUAUAUCACACGAAUGAGUUUUUAUGUUUUGUAGCACAGUGAAAAAAUAAUAAUUGGAGAAGUAGCAUAGUAGAGAAAAUAACACAGUUUAAUAAGUCGUAGAUGAUAUAUAUUACUCAAGAGCUGCAAUUUAAUAUUUUUCAUGCUCUAUCCUUUUUAAGGAUUGGUUGGCCACAAAGGAGUUGGCUUUCCUGUUAAGGACAUCUUGCCUAUAUAUCAAUUUUUUAAACUACGUAAACUGUACACCAAUUAAUUUGUUGGACUGAGUUCCCUCCACUGUGACAAACCU